UAGGGAAUCUUCCACAAUGGACGAAAGUCUGAUGGAGCAACGCCGCGUGAGUGAAGAAGGGUUUCGGCUCGUAAAACUCUGUUGUUAAAGAAGAACAUAUCUGAGAGUAACUGUUCAGGUAUUGACGGUAUUUAACCAGAAAGCCACGGGUAACUACGUGCCAC
rnacentral:rRNA from 1 species